UUUUUUUCUAAAGCCCCACAACUAGCUAUCUUAUAGCAGAUAAGGCAAGCCUACUCAACUAAUCUCAUGUAAACGCCUGUUCGCUAAAAUCCAAAUAGAAAAAGACAACUACUUAUUAAACAUGUAGUUGAGUGCUCCGUCGUUGUUCGGAUCUUGACCGAGUCCGAGCUUCCCAAGCUCUAUGCUGUUUGGGAACUCAGCAAGGGUCUUACCACCUUCUUGAUUGACUAUAUUUGAGUCUUUGGGGUACUUUAGGAUUAUAUUCCGCGCCGAAGAUUUGUGCUUGUGGGCUAGGGUGAAUAUAGCGGACCAGCGGAUCUGGUAGUUGACAAUCGUUCGGACUUGGUAAAGGUUGUCGCAGCACCUGUAGUAGGACAGAGGACUUAUCGCGAUGCCCGCGGACCAAUUUACUAUGUCUCUGUCACUGACGUUGGUCAAAGAGGCCACGUGGAUUGGCCUGGGUCUUCUUCGGCUAAUGAGACCUCGAUCCCGAAGCCUUCGUAGUAUCUUUUUGAUAGGCGCCUCUAUCUGUAUGGGGAAUUCGCUGCUGAAAGAUCCCGCCUAGUGUCCCCUUCCUUCCCCCGCCGCCUUCCGACCAAAGGGAGUAUACAAUUUCUUCUUCAGGACACUCAUGCCCGAUCGUGAGACUGCCUGUUGAACGCCUGAUGGCACCUUGCUCUGACCUGAGCUAUGCAACAACGAGAUCCCCCUCGAUCUUUGCCGGAUGUGCUUGACGGUCCCCCAUAAUACGCUAACUUGGGGACUUUUUAGUCCAUCUUUUCCAAGAGUCUCCACUAGUUGAACUGCGUCCAGUAGACGACCUCUUCCGCUCAUCCCCUUCGUAAGCUCUUUGAUAGGGAUACUAUAACCUAGGUCCCUAAACUUGGAAUGGAUGGCGGAGCGUAGGUGGCAGGCAGUUAUAUGGAUACGGUGCUUUACCCGUAGACGCUUCUCCAGCUCUCGCAAGAAUUGUAUGGGAGUCGUCCUCGGGGGGACUUCCCGAAUGACCAUAUCGGGGAAUUCUACCGUACUCCGUGCAGCUAUGGUUGUUGAUCCUGCGGAGCCUACCCAAAGGUUCAGACCGGAUUGUAGGAAGUGGGUGAUACGUUUUUGUAUUUCUAUGAGAAGAAAUACGGCACCCACGAUUCCCAGUAGUAAGUCGUCGGCAUAUUGCGCGUAACAAAUCCUUAUUAAUAAGGAAUGGCUUUUAAAGGGGGCCAGCUUACGGGCCAGGCCUCUCUCUGACCUGAUAACUAGUAUCGCCUCCCCGCCCAGCUCUAUCACCAGGCCCCUUCUUUUGCAAUACUUAAGAAGGUCUCUCAUGGCCAAAUUCUUAUUAAAGCCUUCUCUAGCAUUGAAUUCGGCCUUCGGGUCAACCCAACGGCUUCUAUGAGGAAGGCGGCGCAAAGGAGGCUCGAGGGCUUGUUAAGGAAGGCGGCUAGGGCCGCUGAAGGGGGGAAAACGAAAGGCGUUUUCUGGUCUCCCCUUCGCCUGGGGGUGCUUGUGGAGGGGGGGGGUGUGCCAUGACGAAACAAGGGAAUGAAAGGUCGCUUUGCGUUGGAUGCUAUUUACCCUCCCCACUAUGAGGGCUCUGUUGUCUUGGGGAGCGUUGAAGCUUGCUUCUUUUCCAUACUUUUCUUGGUCAUCAAUACGACGACCUAUUCUUAAUAGAACCGAUCUUAUUUUCACUACAAGAGGAAUUUCGUGCUUCUGCCGGAUCCUCCCUAUCUCCUGAUCGAGCUUGUGUAGGUAGAUAUUGCCUGGUAGGGCCGAUAGUAGUACACUGUUUGGGAUGGAGUCAGGGCCCUUCUCACCCCCUACGAGUCGUCCGGCGGAAAACUUUUUCUGAGUGGGGUAUAAGAACUUGGAAUCGUCGAUCUCUUCCUUCAAGAUUGAGAUGAAUCGAUGUCGGUGGAUGGUGUGAAAACACUUCCUGAUGUCGAAUUCCAAAAACCAGCGAGAGGUUCCCCACUCUUCUUUGAUCCGUCUGAGGGCCGAGUGGCAGCCUCGACCCGAGCGGAAGUGCGAUGUGUCUGGAAACUCGGGAUCGUAAAUGGAUUCGGGUACCAUUCUGAUCGCCUCUUUCAUGAUCUUUUCUAUGGGUAGAACUACUGUGAGCGGUCUAAACUUUGACCCUUCUUUCUUUCUUCAUUUAAAAAAGGGGGAGCAAAGCCUGUUUUUUUGCUCCCUCAAUUGAUAGAUCAGGGCCCCUCCUGCCGGCCCGAACGAAAGGCUCUUUAAGGAAGUAGUCCAUCACUCUCGGGCCCGGCACCAACCAAGAGGAGGCGGGGCUCUCUCCAAUCAUUCCGAAGAGCCGAGAGCUCGUAAAGGAAAAAUUAGCUAGCUCAGCAGGUUUGGACCCGGGUGAAUCAGUUCAGUGAAGGAAGGGAGCCCAAACUUAAGGCUUUUCCAAGCCUUGCCGAUAGGCACCUCAUGGCUCGCUCAGUUCGCUCGCGGAGUUCUUAGAUCAAUAGAUCUGGAUAGAGUCUCGCUCAUAAAGGAAGAGUAGCGCGCUAGCGCGGCUCGCUUCGCUUUUCGACGCGGAGCUCGCUGCUGUCUUUUUAGCUUCAAAACUACAGGGCGUGCGUUAGCACUACGGCUUUUCAGCCUCCCUUUGCUGGUUCCGAACUAUCACUGAUCCUAGAGAUCAACCUUCAAACCUUUUUCUUUGAAUCUCAGGAAGGCUUUCUCGGGGAGAAAGCUGGUUGGGGAACUGCUAAACGACCUAAAAGAAAAAGAGGAGACUGACUCUGACCUUUCAAAGCCCUAUCUCAUCUGGUUGAUAGUAGAAGGUACGUACGAUGAUACCAUGGACAUAAACGAGGUCGAGCAUAUCUUUAAUGAUUUCAAACUAAAGCGUACCUAAAGCCUGCCCUGGAUAUGAAAAAGGGAUUUGAGCCAGAAGAAGAUGAGGAUCUAUCACCAGAUGAGGAAAUGGAAACAACUAAGUAUUAGUUAGGUUUAGGUUCAGGAAAUGGAAAUGGUAACAGCGGCCCAAAAAUGGUAAGGUUUUCUUUUCAAAGAAAAAGGAACGCAAAAGUUUUGCGAAAUCCUUAUCUUUCGGCUUUUUAAAGAAGAUAGGCCAUUACAAAAACAAGGUAUAACAGUCGACUUUCCUAUCAGAAUUUUACAACCUGAAUACCAAGGGACCACUAUUAGAAGAGAGCAUAAUAAGUAAAUGCCGACGCCAUCUUUGACUUUUUGGAUGGUCGGCGGCGCCAUAAACUCGAUAACCAGCACCGCGGAGUCAAGAAAUUCAACUAAAUAGAAUCCUAAAACAAUCUUAUUCGAGCACACACGGGACCCACAGCAAUGAAAUUCACACAAGCGGCAAUCAUCCGAGGAGAGAAUGGAGAAGGGAAAUAUACUUGAAAUUGUUUUUUUCCAAAUGAGAAAGCCUUUGGCAAACUCCUUGCAAAUCUGUUUUUGCUGGGCACAAUAGACAUAUCUGCUCAGUCACAACAUAAGGAACCCCCAAUGUUCCUCAAAGCCUACCCGGCCUGACAGCUUUAGUUGAAUGAUCUGAUCCCGAAGCAAGCUUUCUACUUAAAUUGCUAUGACUGGCCAACUAAUGAUAGGACUACCUAUCUUGAUGCUUUGAAUCUGUAUUCAGAGCUUUUUUCCAACUACCAGGACUACUAAUUUCAAGUACAAAGCUCUCCUAUGAAUAUGCUACUGCUCUUACUUUCUACCUGAAUCCGAGCAUUGAAGCAAGCUCUUUAUCGCGCCAUAACCAAGUCUCUCCUUGCAGCUCUGACCAAUCCACCUGUCAUUGCAAAUAACUGCUCCUUACUCUUUGAUUGUAUGUCCAUUUUUGCUUGAUGUCUGGCUCACCGGAUCUGGUACAUGAAAAAGCCAUUCCUUUUCGCUUUCCUUCAACCACUCAGUAUACUUUUUGACUGGAAGAGUCAAGCGAAAGCAAUUAGUUCAGAAGGAAGAGGAAGACCUAGGGGGCUUACGUCCUCAUUUCACUCUUUUUGCUCCUGCGAGACACGACUCAACUACUUUUUACAAUUGACAGGGUAGCCCGGAGGUCAGAUGAAGGGUCUUCCCCAUAAAGAUAGAUUAGUACUUGGAAGGUUCAGAUGAAGGAAGGGCUGAAACAAGGAAAAAACUAUUCAAUGGGGUAAAUAAAUAUGAGCAAUCCGUGAGAAUAGCAAACCCCUAUCUCUUAAAAAGAAGAAGAUAGAUAGGUCCACGGGUUGAGACAGAGAAGUUCUAACUAAUCAAGUAGGAGUUUACCCACGAGAGUCAGAGGCUGCAUCAUCAAAGGGGUAUAGAAAUAAUUCAGAAGCACUAUGGCCUGAAGCGAAGGGCAGGAACGAACGGAAUCAAUGUGUUCCAAUCUAUCCGGAGUAAGGACAGCAGCUGAGAAGGGACAAAAAAAUAGCGUAGACAAAAGGUAGGACCAGAUCAUGCAAAGAGCUCUUCGCCCUAUUGAUUAGGAAUCUCGAUCAGAAACCACCAGGCCAUGUCUCCCGAUAAAAGAUGAUCCCCACAAUGGAUGUCAGGCCUUGGCUUUAUAAAAUCUGAUUGGAUCCGCACUAGAGGAUAAGAAUACAGAUAGGCUGACUAAGAAGAUCUUCAAAUUGUCUUACCUGAAAAGAUGAGUUAUUCAAAGGAAUACCUGAAGAAUAGAAUAGAAUAGAAUAAACACAUGGCACAGCUGGGUGCUAGAAUAGUAGUUGAUAGAAGUUCUAGUCACUUAAAAAAAAUAACCACUGCUUAACUUAAUUAGAUCGAUGAAGAUAAGCAAGCGGGUUCGGGCAGUUAGUCCUAUUUGAAGGUAAGAAGUUCGGGUAGUAAGGGCUAGGUUUAUAUAGGGGCUAUAUUUUUGAUAAACAAAUGGUCUUGCUCAUUUCUCAUCAAGGAAUGGAGAUUGGGUUGGUGUUUGGAAGGGGGAUUCAGUAAACUGACCUUGGCCAGCAAGCAGAAAAAGGACUGACGUCUUGGGGCGCGCUAGCGCGCGUACUCUUCUUCUGCGAGACUCCAUCCAAAUCCACCACUUACUUGUUGGUUGGUGUUCCAUUCUGUUAUCUUAGACUAUGCUGCCUUCUUCAAUUCCAUUCUUCGUCUCCCUAGUCGAAGUCUUCUUGCUGGCCCUACCCAACAUGCAUUUUAGAGUGCCGUGCCAGGGCGAUAGGCGCUCCGCCAGUCACGCAUGAUUGCCAGAGCCUUUCUUGGCUAUGUAAAUAUAGGGCCGGAAUAAGUGCAAGAUCCUCAACAAAAUGGAUUAAGGUGGGCUUCGGAUUUUUCAUAAUUUUUUUUCUAUCUUUUCAUCAAGUUCUUGUUUGAUCUGCCGCUAUUAUCACAAUAUCCCUCCUUUUAGGGUUAAUGCUAUCAAUGGUGAAUCGAUCAUUCGCUAUCCUUUUUUUAGAAGAGCUUUUUUGAAUGGAAGAAAAGUAGUGAAACCCGCGAUGGCUACUGAAUAACCUCCUUUGAUUUUUUUUAUAAUAAAUCCUUUGACCUUUUUCUUCGUUCGCCAAAUCUUCUUCAGUUCUAUCCAAGCUCGGUUUUGUCUGAAUCUUUGUGGAAGAAGAAGCGGUUCGCCAGCCGCUACAUCCAGGGAUCCCACAAAAUCAUUAAACCUGGCGGCUGCUCGCUCUUUGAUCAGUGAUUCACCGGCCACUAGAUCGAUGAAGAAUCUCUCAAAAAUCCGCUUUUUGAUCAGUGAUUCACCAGCCACUACAUUCUUGGAUCCCACCUUAUUCUCAAACCUGGUGGCUCGCUUGAUUGGCAGUCCUGUAAGCUCAUCUUGCAUACAAAUUUUGGGGGUACCAGGGCCUGCAUCCACCAAGAACAUUUCUUCCCUUAAGCGUAAGCGUAAAACUGAAGAUUGUGAGGCGUUUCCACUACAUAAUAAGAAACUAGAAUUAGAUCUUGGAAAUGAUCGACUCCAAUAGAUGCUCAUCAUAAGCUUUUUUUUCCUCCUAUUCCUAUUGAUCAGAAGUAUCCAGCAGCGCCACACCAGAGUGACUUCCGAAGCGCUACGGACGGGACGAAAUCCGGCAGCCAGUUGCUGGCUCUGAAUAACCAGCCCAGCAAGAAGCUAAAUUCUUCCAUAACAUAACAUAACGGGGCGGGGUUGCGCGCGAGCCGAGUGACGUAGGUGCACAAGAGUACUUCGCGCCACAACCAUCUCUUUUUUAUAGGUUCUACGGACCGAUGCCUCCUGCUUCAUCUGGUAAAAAAGAGUCAUAGAUAUGCCUGUAAUUAGAAGGAAGAACCGCCAUAAAAAUCUUCCUCGUGUAUCGUCUGUAGCGGAACUAUGAACGGGAGCUAGCAAUCCGGACCGUAUUGAAAAGGUUCCUAAGACACAGCAUGGAAGAGUCAAAAUAUUCAGAAGCGAGGUCCAAGAAUGAAGAAGGGUAGAAUUACUGAAUGAAUACGAGCUGUGGCUAAUACCCAAGGCAUAAAAGACGCAUUUUCUACGAGAUCCCGAAACCACCAGCCACCCCGACCUAAUUCAUGAUGAGCCCACCAACUUCCUGGCGUGAUGCCUACGGUUAAAAACAACCGACAUGUCAAGAUCCAAAUUCGAAUUGGUUCCUGGUCCUGGUCAGAGACCACCGUGUUCGCGCCGGCGGUCCAACAAAGAGGCGAAGUAGUGGUGUCUUUCUUUCCAUUACGAAUGACACACUUCGCCUGCUCCCUCCCCGUGUCCAUUAGCGCUCCUGUCCAGAGCGAAGAGAAGGCGAAAAAGCGCCGCCGAAGCUGCAUGAGCAGGCUUCUAUUGCUACGCAACAAUAGAGUAGGCGCGCCGCCCACAAAAUGUUUGAAUGAUCGGGUAAAGAGCGAGCUUCUUAUAUGGGAUCCGACGCAUCCAGCAGAGCGAAGAAGCGUUCCAUUCUUUUCGGCGGCAUCCUUCCGCAUUGGCGGCGAGUGGAGUGCCACAAUCCCAUUCAUCAUUUUUGAUCUACAUAACCCAAAGCCCAUAGCACUGGCGACAUCUCCGGCAUAAAUGCAAGGAGGAUGUAUAGCUGAUAUAGGAUCUUGUGGAACUGGAUUUGAUUCUGCAAGCGGUUCGGUACGAACGAAGAAAUUUCGAACAAAAGGAUCGGAACUCGCUGAUAGGAAAGGAGAGAAAAACAAAGCAAUGCCAAGAGCUCCGUCAAUCUGCUGUUCAUCGAUAGACGAAGCUCUCUCUUUUUCAUCUCGUGCCAGAUGUAACAAAAGAUUAGUCCUUUUUCCUUCUCGCGAACCACGGGAGCGCCCAGCGCCCAGAAGAGCAAAGCUCAUUUUCAAAACAGGGUCAAGCAGCGCAUUAAAAAGGGCUGGCCCAUUAAAAGGACGCUUACUUUGCGAACGAAGUUCAGAAUCAACAAGGGUUCUCCGAACGAAGGGAGUGUACAACUGGGGCGCAGCCCAACUUUUUUGUUGGAGAGAUAGAAUGGAGUUCUUCACGAAGUUCGAGACAAAGGAAAAAAUCAAAGUUUCUCUAUAGCCUCUUCGUUUUGAGACAUUAUGGCUUUGGGGUCGACCCCGGUAACAAAAAAGGAAUCCAUAAAAACUGGGGAUCCAACACCAUGAUAAAAUACUACCCUCAUGAUUAGACCAUGUCCCUGAGAUUUGAAUAAAAAAAGGUGCAUUAGCGGUUAAUACGUUGUAAUUAGAUAAGUUAUUUGGAAUAUGAUGGAACGAAAGACCAAGGAAAGGAAGAAGAAUGCACCAAAAUGCAAGUGCUGCACCAAAUGCUGGUGGUUGUUUCUUGUUGUAAGUGAAUGCAACGAAAAGACCCAGAAAUAACGAAUAAUGAGAAAAUUCAUUUAUAGACAUUUCAUGCUCAUUUCCAAAUUUAUGCUUAGUUAUUCCCAUCAUCCGGUAACCACAGGAUGAUCCCAAUCUCCUUUUAGUAAUAGAUCUUUUUGAUAUGUCUCAGUCUCAACGGCAAGGAAGAGAAAAUGCAUCGAGUCGUUUAUCAAGAAAGUGGACGAGCAUGGCGGUCCCUAUAUCUCUGAGGGGUGUACCACUUUUUUUUUUCAAGUCAGCUUAAGAGGUUCAAAAGAGAAAGUCACUCUCCUUAUUCUUGGCUAGUGGAAUGGAAGCAAGACUCUUUCCUAUCCACUUUGCCGAGGGGAGAGAACUCAAAGAUAACUCAAGCUAGACAGAAAGGUGCAAAAGUCCAAAGUUUCUUAAGGAUCCUGUAAGCAAGUAGGUUAAGAUUGUCAUUUAGCUUCAAUUUCUUCAGUCACACAAGCGGGUCCGCGUGCAACAAAAGAAAUUGUAUUUUCCUACUACUCCGACCUUGCCCUGAAAGGAUAAGGAAAUUGGAUAAGAGCAAGAGCUAGACUGACUGUUGGUCCAAUGCUAGUGGAGGAUUCAGACUGAGGACCCCCUGUGGCGGCUACUCAUAAGAAGAUGAAGGAUUGAAAGAGGACUGAUCACCCCUCUGAUUUGUGAUCUUUUAAUAGAAAGAAAAAGCCUUCUCUCAGACUUAAAGGUAAAUGAAAGCGGGAUUUUUUUUCUCUCCUCUAAGCUAGCAGCAAGUCAAGUAAUCUGAGAAUGCUGCCCCCAAUCCGUAGCUGAGGACGAACUCAACUCAUAAGCUUUUUUUGAACCAAGCACCUGUUGUAGAAAUGAAAAACCACCCACUAGCAGAGGCUGGAACAACCCAUAGAAGUGUAGGGGCUGCUUCAACCAGGCGUACCCGUAUCCAUUGAUUUACCUCCUCUAGAGAGUAUUGAACUUUGUGACAAAUAGGUUAUAGUUACACUCCUUAACUCCCUAUUCGCAAGAUAUAAAAGCUAGCUAGUAAGAAGACUUUCCCUUCUUUUCUGGGAGGGUGAGAACUUGAAAGACUGGCAGAGAAAAGGAAGAAAAGCGGCUAAUGCUAUCUAAACGAUUAUUUCAAAGUUUACCAAGU
rnacentral:lncRNA from 1 species